GACGAACGCUGGCGGCGUGCUUAACACAUGCAAGUCGAACGGUGAACCCUUCGGGGGGAUCAGUGGCGAACGGGUGAGUAACACGUGAGCAACCUGCCCUUGGCUCUGGGACAACCAUUGGAAACGGUGGCUAAUACCGGAUACGACUCAUGCAGGCAUCUGUUGUGGGUGGAAAGAUUUUUCGGCCAGGGAUGGGCUCGCGGCCUAUCAGCUUGUUGGUGGGGUGAUGGCCUACCAAGGCGACGACGGGUAGCCGGCCUGAGAGGGCGACCGGCCACACUGGGACUGAGACACGGCCCAGACUCCUACGGGAGGCAGCAGUGGGGAAUAUUGCACAAUGGGCGCAAGCCUGAUGCAGCGACGCCGCGUGAGGGAUGACGGCCUUCGGGUUGUAAACCUCUUUCAGCAGGGAAGAAGCGCAAGUGACGGUACCUGCAGAAGAAGCACCGGCUAACUACGUGCCAGCAGCCGCGGUAAUACGUAGGGUGCAAGCGUUGUCCGGAAUUAUUGGGCGUAAAGAGCUCGUAGGCGGUGUGUCGCGUCUGCUGUGAAAACUCAGGGCUCAACUCUGAGCUUGCAGUGGGUACGGGCACACUUGAGUGCGGUAGGGGAGACUGGAAUUCCUGGUGUAGCGGUGAAAUGCGCAGAUAUCAGGAGGAACACCGGUGGCGAAGGCGGGUCUCUGGGCCGUAACUGACGCUGAGGAGCGAAAGCAUGGGGAGCGAACAGGAUUAGAUACCCUGGUAGUCCAUGCCGUAAACGUUGGGCGCUAGGUGUGGGGUCCAUUCCACGGAUUCCGUGCCGCAGCUAACGCAUUAAGCGCCCCGCCUGGGGAGUACGGCCGCAAGGCUAAAACUCAAAGGAAUUGACGGGGGCCCGCACAAGCGGCGGAGCAUGCGGAUUAAUUCGAUGCAACGCGAAGAACCUUACCAAGGCUUGACAUGCGCGGUGGAAUCCCAGAGAUGGGGUGUCAUUUAGUUGGUCGCGUACAGGUGGUGCAUGGUUGUCGUCAGCUCGUGUCGUGAGAUGUUGGGUUAAGUCCCGCAACGAGCGCAACCCUCGUUCCAUGUUGCCAGCAAUUCGGUUGGGGACUCAUGGGAGACUGCCGGGGUCAACUCGGAGGAAGGUGGGGAUGACGUCAAAUCAUCAUGCCCCUUAUGUCUUGGGCUUCACGCAUGCUACAAUGGCCAGUACAGAGGGCUGCGAUACCGUGAGGUGGAGCGAAUCCCAAAAAGCUGGUCUCAGUUCGGAUCGGGGUCUGCAACUCGACCCCGUGAAGUCGGAGUCGCUAGUAAUCGCAGAUCAGCAACGCUGCGGUGAAUACGUUCCCGGGCCU
rnacentral:rRNA from 1 species